UAGUUCUUAUCUAUGAGUGGUAUAUCCUGCCCGGUGAUUUUCAACGGCCGCGGUAUCUUAACCGUGCAAAGGUAGCAUAAUCAUUUGCCUAUUAAUUGUAGGCUGGAAUGAACGGAUGAACGAAGUAAAAACUGUCUCCCCCACUUCUCAUAUAAUCUAAUAUUUGAAUGAAGAAGUUCAAAUUUUAUCAUAGGACAAGAAGACCCCGUAGAGCUUUAUUUAUAAGUAAGAUAUUUACAAAGGAUUCGGUUGGGGCGACCUAGGAAUCUAUUUAUCAUCCUCUAUAGAAAGAUUUAUCUAUCACUAUAAUGACCCUUAAAUAAGAUCACAAGAAAGCUACCUCAGGGAUAACAGGCUAAUUUUUCUUUAGAGCUCUUAUCAAAAGAAAAGGUUGGCACCUCGAUGUUGGCUUAGGGAAUCUAAAUAACGCAUAAGUUAUAAAAGAGGGUUUGUUCAACCCAUAAAACCCUACGUGAA
rnacentral:rRNA from 1 species